AGUUGACAUGGAUAGUGGAACUGAAAUCCCAAGAUCAAAAGAGCCGUGCAGCAGCGGGCCACAGAGGCAACCUGAUGCGGAAGAUGCAGCAAUCAUAGCAAUGGAAUCCCAUCCAAUCACAGCUGAGCGCAACAGCACAGGGGUGACACGAUCUCAUCGCCUGAAGUAGACCAGCAGUAUGCUGUCAAAACGUCGCGAUCCACAUCGUGUUAUUUACCAUUAUGACUAGCCACAACCCUUUUUUAUGAUGUAGUGAUGAGUUGUUAUAUUAUCAACUUAUUAAGAGUAUAAUGAGCGCACUUCUUGGAUGUUGUUCGUUCCCAGGGUCCUACCUCUGUCUCCCCAGAGAGGACCCAGGAAAUGAGGAUGUUAAAAGAUCAUGGCGGACCGAGCCUGGAGAAAUCAGCAUGGGUUAAAUUUGGUGUUGUUCUACAGCAAGCAGGUCUCUUAUAUCACAUUUUUAAACGUUGAUAGGAGAUGUUGUGUUCGGUAGAAAAUUUCGUGAGAAAGCGUGGACUUAUGACUUAAAAUAACUCAGCUUUGGAUUUCUAACCGUGAUCACGUAGAUAUGAGUUUGACGGGAAGUUAUGCGUCGCGAAAAGAAACUCGAAAGGGACAAGUAAGGACCUGAUGGUACAAAACUGGGCUUGAAGGGAAGAUCAAUUCAGUGUUAAUGAGAAAAAGGAUUUAUCAGGAAAGCUGUCCUUUAAAUGGACCAUCUGGUUGCAGAUUUACAAGUUACUCAGGGCUUGUUCUGCAUAUCCAUCAAUUGACUUUUCUCGCCAAGAUUAAUCUCUUUUGUCAACCAAUCCAAAACAUGCUAUCUAUUGAUCAGUUGAUGAGAAUGAUUAAUUUAUGGAAUUCAUCUUUGAUGUUAACAUUCCCAAUAAGGUCCUGUCAGUCAAGAAACUCAGUGAUACUACUGAUUGUAGAUUUUGGCUCUUUUGGAGUUGUGAGAUCAGCCCCCUCCCCCCAGGUGACUUUGUCUCCUCCCACUCUGCCAGCCCUGCCCCG